rnacentral:rRNA from 1 species
CAGCCGCCGCGGUAAUACGUAGGGUGCAAGCGUUGUUCGGAAUUACUGGGCGUAAAGCGCGCGUAGGCGGUUACUCAAGUCAGAGGUGAAAGCCCGGGGCUCAACCCCGGAACUGCCUUUGAAACUAGGUGACUAGAAUCUUGGAGAGGUCAGUGGAAUUCCGAGUGUAGAGGUGAAAUUCGUAGAUAUUCGGAAGAACACCAGUGGCGAAGGCGACUGACUGGACAAGUAUUGACGCUGAGGUGCGAAAGCGUGGGGAGCAAACAGGAUUAGAUACCCCCGUAGUCCCUGUCUCUUAUAU